UUAGAGGACAUGUUAAGAGCUUGUGUUAUCGACUUUAAGGGUAGUUGGGAUGAUCACUUUCCAUUGAUUGAGUUCGCCUACAACAACACCUAUCAUUCCAAUAUUCAGAUGGCUCCAUUUAAGGCUCUAUAUAAGAGGAGAUAUGGAUCUCCUAUUGGUUUGUUUGAGGUAGGUGAGACUGUAUUGAUUAGGCCAUAUUCAUUGUUCGAUGCUUUGGACAAAGUUUAGUUGAUCAAAGAGAGGCUUGAGACAGCCUAGAGCCGACAGAAAUAUUAUAUAGAUGUGAGGAUUAGGGAUCUCAAAUUUAAGAUUGGUGAUUUUGUAUAUUUGAAGAACUCUCCCGUAAAGGGAGUGAACAUAUUUGACAAAAAGAGGAAGCUCAGUCCCCAAUAUGUAGGCCCUUUUAGGAUCUUGAGUCAUUUUGGGAAGGUAGUAUAUGAGCUUGAGUUGCCUGCAGAUUUGGCAUCAGUGCAUCCAGUGUUCCAUGUUUCCUUAUUAAAGAAGUGUAUUGGUGACCUAGCCGUAGUUGUUCCUUUAGAGAGCUUAGAUAUUCAGAAUGGCCUUUCUUACAAAGAACUCCCAGUUGAAAUCUUAGAUCGCCAGAUUCGUAGACUAAGAAACCAAGAAGUUCCCUUGGUCAAAGUUCUUUGGCUGAAUUAGUCUGUUGAGGGAGCUACUUGGGAAGCAGAAGUAGACAUGCGUACCAAAUACCCUCACCUUUUCUCUGCAAACUCAGACUCAACUUAAGGUAAUAGUUUUCCCUAGAGUUUCUCAUUUUCAUUCUCAGUUCCAGCCAUAUAAUCAUGUUCACGUCAUUGCAUGCAUUCACAAAUCAGUUCAGUCAGUCACCAUGUUUCAGACUCAGUCAUGUAAUCAUGUUUUUAGUUAUGCAUAAUCAACAUGUAAUCUCAGUACCUUCGUAUUCUCAGCUUAAUCAGUCUCAUUCGAGAAUGGAUAUUCCCAAGGGGGAGAUAUUGUAAUGCCCUGUAAUUAUCUUAGCUGAAUUCAGCCCAUAGUACAUGUAUAGAGGCUUAGAACCUAAAAAUUGGCUAAGUGUUGGAGACUUAGUUUUAUUUUUGAACUCUUAACUAUGUUGACUUUUAAAGUGACCUUCCUAACCCCGAGAUGUAAGUUAGAUGUUCAGGGGUAUAAGAGGCAUGUCUUGGGUAAGUUUCAGAUUUUUCGGACGAGGUUUGGACCACAUUUGGAUUUCCAAAACAGCAGCUCAUCGCGAUUAUAGUACGUCGCGGUGGCUAUGGUGGUGGUCACCUCAUCACGUCGCGGAGAAGUUUAAAAUGAUAAUUGUCAGAUUCCAGCAAGUAACCGUGAUUACACCGCGUUGGGGUAGAGUCGCGAUGACAACCUUGGCGCAUUGCGGUAAAGGUUCAAUCGAUGUUCUCGUUAUGAAUUUUAAUUUUCCAAGGGUAGUCUUGUCAUUUUCACUCGCCCAAAUCUAUUCAUGACACAAAAUUAAAACCCCAAAGGGGCAUUAUAUGCCCUAUUAUUCAUAAUUUCUCUCUAAGAAAGUAAUUCUCUCUCAAGAACGAACCCUUGCCCCUUUAAGAUUCAAGCUUAAGUUUUAAGAAAACCUCCAAGAACCUUCAUGAAUUCUUCAAUUAAGGUAUGUUAAAUGUUCAUCCAUGGGUCCUUUUCACCCAUGGGGUCCAAGAACCCAUCUUUAAGUUUUAAAGCUAUGGUUUUCACUUGUUAUCAUGAAUUUUAUCCAUGAAUUUCCACGAAUCUCAAUUUUAUAUCAUGUUUACAUGUAAUUGUUGUUGUUAUUAAGCCCUAAACAUUUUGAAUGGCGCUUGUUCACUGAUUUAAGUCUUAAUUGGUGAUUUUAGUAUUAAAAUCAUGCUAUCUUUACAUGUUAAAACUAUCCCCAUAUUUAAACCAUGAAUUGGAAGUGUUUUAUGAAAUGCCCAAAGGAAUGUGUUUUGAAUAAUGACUACUUAUCAUGUCCUUAAGGUUUUAGCACGGUCUUGUUAUUAUUGCUAUCGAGUUCUGGGGGUUAUGAAUACCCAAAAACUUAGCUGUUUACCUAAUUUUCAGUAUGUACAGAAUGGUUUUAGAUACAUUUGAGUCUUAUCAGUUCAGUCAGUUAGCAUACCAGUCUAACUUAGAUUAGUUCAGUAAUCUGAGUUAGUUCAGUUGGGAGUAGGAUUUAGUAUCGAGCGAACCCAGAGAUGGGGGCUCACCUACCAGUUGAGGUUGUGACCUUUAGUAGCUGUCCCUGCAUUCUAGAACUAUGUAUCUAGCAAAGGUUAUAUGUUAACCUGCCAGUUGAGGGUUGACAUAUGUCUCACUAGAGCAGCUGCCAGUAGAGGGUGACUCUUUAGUCCUUCGGGACUUCACUUUAGUGGAUCCACGCAACCAUGUUUUAGUACCUGUGGCACAGUACUAACACCCUUCCAACAAGGGUCACAGGUUGGACCCCAAUUAGCUCAUAUUGGGGCAUAUCAGUUAGAUGAUCGCUUCCACAGUCUCAGUCCAGUAUUCAGCUCAGAGUUCAGUUUCCAGGCUUGCUUGACCAGGGCAUAUAGUUAUUGGUCAUUCAGUAUCAGUAGUUCAGUAUUUGAGGUUACAGUCUACCCUAGUAUCAUGUUAUAUGCUUGGUCAUGCACUCUCAGAUUUUACAGUUUUCUUGCAUACUAUACAUUCGUUAUCUCAUGCUAUUUAUUCAGUCAGUUAUUAUUCCUGCAUAUGAGCCAUGCAUACUAGCCUAACCACAUUUAGCAUACCAAUACAUUCAAAGUACUGACUGCAUACUCGUUUCUUGCAUUAUGAUGUCUCAUAUCAUAAGUUCGAAUGCUCAGGCUCCUAAUCGUACUUAGACUUUCCAGUCCAUCAACAAUAAUAGCAGUGGUGAGUCUUCAUCCUUUAAUGACAACUUAUCUUAUAUUCAGUUAUGUUAGUAGUUCAGUCAUUUAGUCAGUCGAAUUUAGUUGGGGGCUUGUCCCAUCAACUCCACUUUCAGUCAGUUUAGAGGCUUUCAGACUAGUACAGAUAGAUAGUCAGUUUUCAGUUGUUACUAUCAGUUGUUUUAUCAAUAUUGACAGUAUGUUCCAGACAUUUUAAACUAUGAUUCAGUAUUGAUUUUCAGUUGCUAAAAUCUUAUGGCAUUUCUAGUUAAGUUCCACACAUAUUCUUGGUUAUUUUAUUCAGUGCUCACAGCAGGUACCAACAAGGGUUAGCUUUAUGGUCCUUCGGGGCUGUAAGCACCAUAUGGCAUCCAAGGUGUACUCUCGGGGCAUUACAACCACACACACUAUUAACCCCUAUUCUCACAUAACCUCAAGAGAGAGAUCUAGCUACACAUAAGAUAAAUAAGCAUAGAUAUACCAAACAUUUCCAUUGAAAUGACUUGUUGAAGAUUAAGUGAAUGUCAUUUCAAAAUUGGAAUUCCCAAAAAUAAACAAUGGAAGUGAGCUAAUCCUCUACUUAGAAAGUCUCCAAUGUAUUCUUCACCCAAAAUUUAUACAAUAUUUUCUUCUCCAAGUAUGGAGGCUAUGAACUCAAGUCUAAACCUAAAAAAUUGGGUAAGAUAAAAUGUUAUCAUGAUGUGAGGGUUUGAGUCUUUUUGUCAAAAUUGAGAUCAACCACGUGCAUUCCAAACUUAGCCCUUGGGCUGCUUUCUUUCGCUAAGUUGCGUCGUGUCUACAAGACUGCGGUUAUCUUCCGCAACCACGGUUUAUUGAUUUCCAUUUGAUUGCCACAAUGGUGGUCGCUAGACCGCGACGACGGUAGCUGAGGCUAGCUCCUGUUAUAAGUCUUCAACUGCACUUUCUUUCUCCCUUUUGAUCAUUUUAAGCUCCAAUCCACAUCUUUCUAUCUUUUCAACUCUAUGCCUGCAAAGAGUGGAUAUUAGUGCAUUUACUCACAAAUAUAUCUCAUUUAUUCAUUCAAAAUAAGGUAAUGUACAUGAAUGUUGAGUGCGAAUGAGUGAUAAAAUUACCACUCAUCAGGCAGCUAAGAUAUUUUUCAAUAUUAUCAUUAAUUUCACUUUUUUAUAGGAAUUGGUGCAAAAAUCAUAGUAGGGUUCAUUGCCAUUAAAUAUAGCUACAAUAGUUGUAGUAAAUUUGCCAUAUUUAACCUACAAAAAAGAAAGAAAAUUUAGGCAUCAUAAUAAGGUAAUAGCUAAACAUUAAAUUAUUAUGGUUGAAAAUAGCAUCUGUUUAUCACAGGAUAAACAACUUGCAAUUUCACCAAUUGUAAUUUCUUUGGCCCUUUUAAUUUGGUUACUUGUCAGUUGAGUAAUAUCUUUAUGAGUUUUAUUCUGGAAACAAACCUGCAUGUUCGUUACUUAGUCUAUUAUAAUAAUAAUAAUAAGUUACUAUCAUUUGUUUGGAUGUAUAUGAGGACGCAUAUUAUCAUUCUCUUAGAGAUAUUGCUUUUUCAAAUGUGGGUUCUACCCACAUACUUCUAAUAUAGGUAGAAGAUAGUCCAAAAUUUCCUACACAAUAAAAUAUUCAUUGAAAAGUGUAGCUUUAAUUUUUGUAUCCUAAAAAAUUAGAUUUUAAUAGAUGAACACUAUGGUCUUUGCAAAAUAUCAUAACAGGUGCUAAUUGGUGGUAUCAAAAUAUGAAACUGACAGAGACAAAAUUAAAAUUUCAAGACAUACAUAAAAUGAUAAUCCUCUCACUUGAAGAACAACGUGCAAGUAAUCAAAUUGCAAGCCACUAUCAAGAACAAUGUGUAAGUAAUCAAGGCCCCUCCGGAGAGCCAUUAAAUUAUGUCAAAUUGUGGAGAACUUGUUAGAUUGUAGAGACCAGUAAUCAGAAGUGGUGUUUAUGAGCAGUGAUGGAAAGAGGAUAGGAAGAGGAGCAACACAGUGGUGGAGGUGCCUCAUCGGUCAUCAAUCCCAGCGAGGAGUGGCAACUAGUGAAUACGGUGUUAAAGAGGAGGGAUGAUAAUGGUGGUUGAAGCCUGUUCGCCAGAGCUCUAAUAGUGGCAAUGGUUAAGGGAAAAUAAGAAAGAGGAAAGAUGGGAGGGAAAGGAAAUCUUGUUUUCUUUGUAUUUGGUGUGUAUGUAUGUGUGCGUUUUUAUGUAUUUUUUUGUGUAUUUGAAAAGAAAAAAUAUGUGUGUGGUGAAGAAUAUGUGUGUAUUUCUGAAUGUAUUUUUUAUGUGUUUGUGAGAGGAAAAGGAAAGAAGAGUAAAAAAGAAUGUGUUUUCAUAUCUUCCACCCACCACCUAUUUAUAAUAAAUAUUGGCAUUCUUUA